AGGAAUCUAGGAAUUCCGGUACAUGGUUCCUUGAAGGUGGAGUCGCAGGUAGAUCGGGGUUGUCAAAAAGGCUGUUGGAACAUUUGCCUUCAUCAGUCAGAAUAUUGAGUAUAGAAGUUGGGAGGUCACAUUGCAGUUGUACAAGACGUUGAUGAGACCAGAUUUAGAAUAUUGUGUUCAGUUCUGGGCACCAUGUUAUAGGAAAGAUGUGGUCAAGCUCGAAAGGGUACAGAGAAGAUUUUCGAGGAUGUUGCCAGGACUCGAGAGCCUGAUCU